AAUCGACAAGGAAGAGCAGCUGCAGCUAUACAGAAACUAGUUGCAAUAGUGAGCCAAACAAGAUCGAACAUAAACAGAAGGCGCACUAUGCGUACCCCAAUCUGUAAAGCAAGCCAGCCUACAACAAAAUCAGCCGCCGCACCACUGCCCUCCGGUGGCAGAGCUCACUAUCUCAAACACAAAGAAAAGAGUUUACCCGCCAAGACUCCCAAGAGGUACGUUGAAUUUGAUUGUUAUUGUUAUGAGCGUAUUCUUUAGAUUCCAAUUCCGAUAAUGACUUGAUACAGAGAUUACAACAAAUCCAAUACACAGAAAACUAACUAUAUAUAUGAACACAUAGAUGAAUUAACAUAAACUGAAUUCCAAUAGCAAGUCUGGCUUAGGAUUUGAUAUGAAAAUGGCUUUAACAAAGAUUCAAACACCGUCUCAAUCUCAGAGUUGGUGGAACUAUGCAAUCUAGACAUUUACAGUGGUGAUAAUUCCCUUUAAGGAUCAAAUGGUGAAGUUUUCCCUAUAAAAGUAAUAUGCCUUGACCAGGACUGGUUAUCUGCAUCAUUCUUCUAUGUCAUCCUGCCAAUCAUCCUCAUCAUCUUUCUCAGUCAUCCUUGUCAUCCUUGUCAUCCUUUUCGCUAGUCGGCAUAGAAUAUUGGCUAGAUGGGGAGUCCUCACCACUUGGACUGCAACAGAGGUAGAUGUGUUAGCAUUUUGGCACAUUUUAAGAAGACCUGACCUUAAGAAAAGAAACUGUUUGCAUGAACCAGCUUAGUAGUUUACCUGUACUGUGGAGAACUUGGGGAAUAGUCUGGGCUCACUCCAGAGGUGGUUAAUAAGCUGAGCAAGAACAACCAGAAACGUUUUUUAAUACACAGCAGUAAACAAUAGCUUACGAAACUAUACGAGGGUGAGGUGAGAAGUGAUUGAACCAAUGAAGCUUACCUGCUGGGACUGUAAGUGGGGCUCGAUGGGGAGUAAGUUGGAGAUGUUGGGGAAUAUGCUGGUGAAGUUAGACUGCAAUUGAACAUGAAAAGAAACAACCAUAUAAGAUUGCCUGAAUUUAGAGAAUUUAUAGUGAUUGGAAAAGACUAGGAUGCAGCAAACAGUUGGAUAGAAAAUGUAGUUUAAUUGUGUGAGAUGUCAUCAGCAGUCAACCGGAUCCAGGAACUUUCAAGUCACUAAUGAAUGUCAUCACAAUACGAGUAAAAGCUAACCUGUAUGGAGAUGUGGGGCUGUAUGACGGCGAUGUGGGACUGUAGGAGGGCGAUGUGGGGCUGUAGGAGGGCGAUGUGGGGCUGUAGUAGGGCGAUGUGGGGCUGUAUAAUGGUGAAGUAGGGCUGUAGUUUGGAGAGGUCGGGCUGUAGGGGUGUGAAGUUGGGAUGUACAAAGGAGAAGUGGGACUAUAUGCAGUCAGGCUGUAAGGAGGUCGUGUUUGGUCGUAUGAAGGUGAAGUUGGGCUAUAAGCAGUUGAUGUCGCAGAGGGAGGGGUGUAGCUGGGUGAGGUAGGUGAGUAAUAUGGACUUGUAAGAGAAUAGACAGUACUGGGUGGACUACCUGGUGACGUGAAAGAUGGACGUGCAGGAGGACUGGUUGGGGUAUAACAUGGUGAAGUGGGGCUAUGGUAUGGGGAGGUGGGACUGUAUACAGACGGAGGGUAGACAGUACUGGGUGGACAACCUGGUGGCGUGAAAGAUGGACAUGAAGGAGAAUAGGGAGGACUGGUUGGGGUGUAAUGUGGUGAUGUGGGGCUAUAGUAUGGGGAGGUGGGACUGCAUACAGAUGGAGGAUAGCCUGGAGAUGAACGAGGAGAAAAGUUAAUUCCCGCAACGUAUGGAGAAAACUGUGCCGCAUCCAACAUCGGUGAAAGCAGAUUACUAGGGCUCUGCAAAUAACUAGGAGAUAGUAUGCUGUCAAGAUAUGGAGAAUGGGACGGUGUCAUGCCAACAUCAAGGCCAUCUGUAUAACCAGGUAGCUGCAUUUCCAUAGCAUUUUGUAACAUCUCUUCGUUCAGAUACAGGGCACAGUCUCCAGUGCCAAUUGGUGCCAGCUUGCCUAGCAUUAUGUUUUCUGUUACACCCCUCAGAUGAUCUGUUUCUGCAAAAACUGAAGCAUCCAACAGAACAUCCACUGCUUGCUCAAACGAGCACCUCAUCAUAGGACCAGUGUCAUUUCGAUUGAUACCAUGACGAGUGAUGGGCAUCAAGUAGCCACGAUAGGUCAUCGUAUCACAAAGAAUGGCCAGGUGCCGGUAAUUUACAUAGGAUCCAUCAAACGAUAUAACAUUACGCAACUCAUCCAGCAAUGCCCGUCGUGCUGCCUCAAUUCCAAGAACUUCCAUAAUCUCAUACAAGUGAUUGCUUGUUGUCCUCUUGGCAUCAACAUCCUCAUGGCACAUGACAGCUAAGAGAUUAACACCUUCAGUAUCUAGCAUCCACUCUUGCUCCGCAUUAAACCCUUCAUUCUGAUCAAACUUGUUUACUUUACCAUGCUUUAUGAACACUUUUUUUAUAUCUGUAAUCCCUUUAAGAGCUACCUCUGUCAGCAUGGAAGCUUCAAGCGUCUUCAGGAAAACAUCAUCUUCUGAUUGACCAAUCACUUCAUUAUGUGGUGCUUCUUCAUCCAUGAGACGGAUUCGAAGUAUCAACUUCUCAGAAUUGUCAUCAUUAAAGAUACACUGUAUAUCACCACUAUACAGAUGACUAAUCUUCUCAGCAAUGUCAGCCAUACUCAGUUUCUUAUCCACCAUCAUUUCACGAUUCAUCUCUAUGCGAAGCAACCAAGGAGAUAUCUUUUCAGGAUUAACAUCUUCAUCUGGCAUUUCAUAGUAAGAUUGGACAAAUUCAAAAUCCUCCUCAAUUAGUGUGCUCAUAGGGUCCGGAUCAUACCACACUUCAGUAGCUUGAGCAACACUUCCGAGGUUAGUGUAUUCCAAAGCACACUGAACAUUCUUGGCCUUCUCCUUGGUUUUAUUAGCUUCAGGCUUCAAGUAGAUAGAGAGAGAUGGUGUUUUGAUACUCUUAGAUACAUCAAUAAUUUCCUUCAACCUUGGAACACCGAGAGUAACAUUCUUUGCACUUACACCAGCAUAGUGGAAUGUAUUGAGAGUCAUCUGAGUGGCAGGCUCACCAAUAGAUUGUGCAGCAACAAUACCAAUCAUUUCCCCAGGUGAUACAACUGAUUGCAGGAAGCGUGCCUCUAUCUCGCCAAUAACCCAGUCAAAUGCUUCACGAGUAAGCUUGUACUCUUUUAGCACCCUUUUGCUAGCGAAAGUGCUGCGAAGCAACAUGUUGAAGAAGAGUGUGGCAUUAUUUUGAGCUUCAAGACUUAACAAGUCAUCACCAGGAACAACCUUCAGCCUCUCUUGGAGUUUAUCAAUAGCCUCAACAAUUUGCAUUGGAUGCAUAUCAGAAGUCCGUCUGAAGUCGAUUUUAAAAGUUUUUUGUGCAUUCCAAAUGAGCCUCUUCAGGUUGACAGGCAAAGGCCAAGAAUUAUCACCUGUGACAGCAAUCUCAGUGCCAAGUUGAAGCCUAUCAGUUUCAAGUUUUGAAACUUCCGCAUCAAACACGUUGCGAAACUCUCUAAUAGUUUUUAGAUCCUCAACAUGUUCAGGCAACAUAUAGUCUGGAUUCCAAUUUUCAUCAUCCAACACAUAGGCAAAAGUCUCGUCGAACUCCUUCUUUUUCAUUUUUAGAGAAUCCAGCUUUUGAGACUCUAUCCAUACAGCAUCCAUGCCAUCUUCUCCAUAGAGAAACUGUAUGAUGUCCCCCAAUGAAUUUCUCACAGUCCCAUCAUAUUUGACCAUAAUAUCCUCCAUAGCCUUCACCAGUCUCCUCUGGAUAUAACCAGUCUCAGAUGUCUUGACUGCAGUAUCUAUAAGACCUUCCCUACCUCCCAUAGCAUGAAAAAAGAACUCCUGUGGAGUUAGUCCUUGAAGGUAUGAAUUCUCUACAAAGCCACGACUUUCAGGUCCAUAGUCGUCCUUAGUGAAAUGUGGCAAAGUACGGUCUAUGAAGCCAUAUGGAAUUCGUUUACCCUCAACAUUCUGCUGUCCAACACAAGCAGUCAUCUGUGAUAUAUUGAUAAAACUUCCCUUUGAUCCGGCUGUAACCAUAGCCUUGAGAUUGUUACUCUUAGACAAACUCUUUUGAGCACUACUUCCAGCAUCGUCACGAGCUCUAUUCAAGACCUGAAGAAACAUAACAGUUUAGUACUAAAACAAUAUAAAUCUAAACUGAAUGAAGUAUGGACAAAAGACACAAAACCAUGUCAAGUACCUGGUUCACUUUGUUUUCAAAGGAUUCCAUCAUAGUUCGUCCUGGUUCAGCCUCCAGCUGCCUCGAUUGGGCUUUACUGAUAAGUUCUUUCACUUCAUUUUUUGCCUUGUAAAUAGCUUCAUUGAUCUUUUCCAUUGUUGCCGCAUCAGCAACUGUAUCUCCAAUUCCAAUAGUAAAACCAUUCUGCAACAGCCAGUAAUUCACCAGCCACUGGGUAUUACUAAGGAAUUUGGAGGCUACAUCUGGACCAACCUCUUCCCUGCAGAACAAAAUAAUUCAACUCUUCAGAAACUGAGAAAAGUACUCUUUUUCUGUCUGAUCAUACUUUUGGUCAAUUAAUGCUUAUUCUUUAAUUCCGCCAAAAUUUCAAGUUUGGAUCCAGCAGGAGCUGUUAAAUACACACCAUUGCACCAAAAGAAGGAAAAACAUGCAAAGUAAUUAAAUAGGAGUCUAAAAGUUUUACUUGUCACAUAUUAGACUUGGAUCAAAUUUCAAACAUCAAAGCAUGCGCCUCUUUUGCAAAAGAAUAAACUUGCAUGCCAAGGAAUGCAUUGCUGAUCUAGAUAAGGAAAGAUUUCAUACCAUAUGACAUGUAUAAGACUUCCUGUAGAAGUCCCAAGUGCCCUUUUGCAAAGUGUUCCAGAAAGUAACUCCCCUUUUUCUAUUCUCACGAAAGUAUCACCAGGGGUAAUGUCACCACUUUCUGAUUCAGAGUGCCACGAUGAAAUUCUCUGGAGAUUUAUCUGCUUUGGUAUUAUGAGAUUAAAAACCUGUUUCCCAGUCCAAAGAGGCCGUGGCUUCAAUAUUGCAGGAGCAGGCACUUUCCCGUCAAAAUCCUCCCACCACAUCAAGAUGUUCAUAAAAACGUCCUGUAAAGAUGGACUAGGAUAAGACUACUAAAUAAGGAAAAUAUGAAAGAUGCCAGGAAAAAUUUGAAAAAAUAAAUAAAUAUAUAUAUAUAUAUAUAUCACUGUACCUUCUCUAUAAAGUAUCCCUUUCUGUAAUUUUCCGAGCACCUAACAGUGUAUCUUGGACUAUUCCCAUUACAGGUCGGUUUGACUGAGGGGAAACAAUGCAUUUGGGCACCAUCAUGAGCUCCAAAGCUUCUGCCCUAGUUUCAAGUGACUGAGGAACAUGGACAUUCAUUUCAUCCCCAUCAAAAUCAGCAUUAUAAGGUGAAGUCACGGAUA
rnacentral:lncRNA from 1 species